ACAGACUACAAAGAGUGACAAGAGGGGGAAGAUGUCAAGCAUUUGAUUGGAGAUUGUACAGCAUUUGAAAGGAAACUGUUAGAGAACCAGGUGGUUAUCACAGUGUGAGGAAAGACCAGAAGAGGAGUACCUGUUAUAAUUCCAGCAGAUGCAAGGAAACCGACUGACUACCUCCCAAAUGAAUGGGUUAGAAGAGAUGCAGGGAUCCUGGUGUUUGCCUGAAAAGGUCUUUGAUCCAAAACCAAAUGAAAUGGGUUGUCAAUCAUAUGGACCACUCACUUGACAGUCAUUAGAUGCAUUACAGGUGCACAGAUGAUGUCUUAGAAAAAACACAAAUGGCCAAGAUACUACUACUACAAGACCGUGUGGGAGAGUUUCGGACAAAUCCCUACAAGACAUCCAAAUAGAAGACCUUAUCCAGGAGUCAUUAUUCGCUGAACUGGAUGAAUAUGAGGAUUUACAUGAUAUGACAUCACCUGACAUUGUAGCUGCCAUUGAGCCAUGUGAUUUGUCUGUGUUAGAUAUCGCCGAAAAAUUUGAUGAUACAUAUCGAAGCCCGUUAAAAAACGAAAGUCUGCUGCUCUUCAAAAAACAGAAAAGUACGGCCAACACGACAUCAAUGUGGGAAAGCAAUUGACCUAAGCAGGGUUAAUGAUUGGAAAAUUUGGAAAAGAAAGAAAUUGAAGAUGUACUGAAAAAAUUAACUCUUCAGAAUUGUGCGAACUGAAUGUGGAUCAGAAACCUAAAACUGUUUCAUGCUAUUUCUGCUGUUCAAAUUUGUAGAAAAGCUUGAUUGUGGGUCAGAAACCUACAAUAAAUGGAUGUUCUUUUCAUCAUUGGGGAGCAGUUUGUAGACAAUGGAUUGAUCUAAGUUCUAAUGUGAAAUCAUUUAUUACCAACUUUUUCAUUAACAUUGUCAAACAUGGCAUGUUGAAAAGCAUGCCUCUUUAUGUUGUUAAUACUUAAUUUUGACCACUUGUUUUAUAUCAUAUUUUUUUAACAUCUUGUGCAUCCGUUGUCAUUCCUUCAUGCAACAGUCUUGAAUAAACUAGGAUCAAGGUGUGUGUAUAUAUAUCGUAGUACAGUUUUUUUUUUAUAGAAAUUCUGGAUUAGUGUUUUGUAUAUAUAUAUAAUGUACAGCACCAUUUUGUGGAGAACUUUUAUACACAAAAAAAUAACAUUCAAUAGAGUUACUUUUAUUUUUCAAGUUGUUGAUACCAAGAAUAUAAAUGUUUUUUUUAAACAGCUGGAAAAGAGCGAUUGCAGAUGGUAUCUUGCAUGAAUUUAGUCUCUGUUGAAAAAUCACUUGCAAGCUUUGAAACAGUGAUUUGUUUUUAAUCAAAAGCAAGAAAAAUGUGCCAAUACUAUUUGUAGAUGAUAAGUACGAUAUUUCCAUUGACAUGACCAAGGAUGGAUGAAUUUCUAAGUUUGCAGUAUUUCAAUAUGCUCAGUAUGUAAAAUUUCUGUCAAGAAUGUUUGAUAAAAUGAAUGACCUUGACCCAUUUUCAAGGUCACAGGGAUAAAUGUUUAAUAAUUUUUAAUGAUUUCUUCUCAAUAUCCAAAAAGUUCUGAUAACCGGCCCAUAGUAUGCUGGAAUGACUUGCCAAUUAUGUUCAUGUUAUUUAUAUUUUCACUUUGUAAAGGUCACAAGGGUCAAAUUUGUUAAAAUCUUUAAUGACUUCUUGUCAAUAACAAAAAGGUCAAGGCUGUUGAAAUUGGUUUUUCAAUGUUAGUGGAUGAAGGACAGUCGUUUUCAAAUAACUGACCUUGACCUAUGUUAAAGAUCUCUUAGGUUGUAAAAACAGAAGAUGUACAGCAUUAAUAAUGGAAGAUGCACAAUCCAAUGGUACAUUUGUGUAAUACUAAUUAUAUAGAACUUCAUGUCCCUAAGGAAAGUUAAAACUUUUGUUUAUUAGGUAUCAAGUUUAGUGUCAAUCUUCAUGAAAUGGUCAAGAUGAACUUUUAUAAGAAAAUAGUAAAACUUAAAAGGUCUUAUUAGCAUUUGGAGUAGGCGAAAUUUAAUUCCAAUUGGACAAGUCCGUUUAAUUAAGUCACGAAUGAUUUCACAAUUUAAUCAUCUUUUUAUUUCUUUACCAAAUCCAGAUGAAAAAACAUUUAAGAAAAUAAAUUCCAUUCUCUAUGAAUUUUUCUGGCACAGUAAAGUUGAUAAAUUCAAAAGAGAGAUUAUAGUUCAAGAAUAUGUUUGUGGUGGUUUGUAAAUGAUAAAUAUCUACAACAUUGUUGAUUCAUUGAAAUGAAGCUGGAUUAAAAGAUUAUACCUGUCUUCAGGUAAAUGGAAAACUCAUUAAACUUAAUAGAUUUUUGAAUAUUGGAGGUAACUAUAUUAAAUCAUGCCAAGAUAAUUAUAGUAAUGUUUUCUGGAAAGAUGUACUAGGGGCCUGGUCUAGACUAGAGAACUCGGAUAAUAUGAAAACAAUUAAAGGGAAGUCACUCUUGCGAACACCUGUCUGGGACAACAAGUAUAUAACUAUUGGUGCUAAGACAAUCUAUCCACAAAGAAAAGUGGGGAGAUCUUUUUUAUUUUAAUGAUGAUCACUGGUCAAAAAUAUAUGCACUGCCUUUUCAAAUCACUAAAAACUCUAAACUUCAAUGGUUACAAUUUAGAGUCGUGCACCAUAUAUUAACUACAAACUCUUCUCUUUUUAAAGCAAAACUAGUAGAUAGUUCUCACUAUAACCUCUGUAAUGCUGAAAGGGAAACUACUGUACAUAUGUUCUGGGAAUGUGAUCAAGUUCAAAAUUUAAUUCAAAGUCUAGAAAGGUUACUGGAUGCUUUAUUUAUACCCUUUACAUUAAAUAAACAAACAUUGCUUUUUUGGCAAAAUCUUUAAUAACAAUAAUGUAAUAUAUAAAGUUGAUAGUCAGGUUAUUUUGCUCAUGAAACAUUUACAGAACUAGGUGUCUACACAAGACACUGAAUAUUAACUCAUCACUUUGUGCCAUUCAUGAUCAUUAUAAAGUCCACAAAUAUAUUGUUGGUAAUAAAGGGGAGAUAGCUAAUGAAAAUUUUGUGUUGGAAUGGAAGAAGUGGGAAAGCCUAAUACAGAUAUAAGAUUAAUGUAUACGAUUUGUAUAAUUGCUAAAUUUAUUAAACUAGUUUCCAGUCCCCGACAAGGUCGCCAUGCAUAAACUUUACAUACUUUCUAAUUAUACCAUUUGCCUUCCAUUCUCUCUAUCUCUCUGUUAACCUUUGCUACUUCUCUUAACUGUUCAAUAUUUCCUAGUCGAAUUUUUUUAUAUAUUUAAUAUGCAUAGUCUUGUAAUAUGAAUACCAGAAAAUUCUUAUUUCUUAUCAAUAUAUUUGAUUUGAUCUCUCUCUCUC